UACGUAGGGUGCGAGCGUUGUCCGGAAUUAUUGGGCGUAAAGGGCUCGUAGGCGGUUUGUCGCGUCGGGAGUGAAAACUCAGGGCUUAACCCUGAGCCUGCUUCCGAUACGGGCAGACUAGAGGUAUGCAGGGGAGAGCGGAAUUCCUGGUGUAGCGGUGAAAUGCGCAGAUAUCAGGAGGAACACCGGUGGCGAAGGCGGUUCUCUGGGCAUUACCUGACGCUGAGGAGCGAAAGCGUGGGGAGCGAUCCGG
rnacentral:rRNA from 1 species